rnacentral:lncRNA from 1 species
CUUCCAGGAGCGCGCUUGAGCGGACGCUGCCUACCGGUGGCCGGGCGGGAUGUAACCCGCUGCUGAGCUGGCAGCUCUGUGUCGCUAGGCUUCGGCCCGGCCGCCGCCGCACAUAAGCUGCGAGGAGGAGCUUUACGACUUCCCGGUCUUCGGGGCCGGGCGCAGCAAGGGCCAGACUCUGCGCUAGCAGGCGCUGCGCGCCAACCGGCCGGCACCUGUCGCAGAAGGUGCAACCGAUCGCACUGUCGCGCCGAAGCUCCUCAAUGGCCAGCGCCAGCUGCAGCCCCGGCCGCCCACUCGCCUCACCUGAGCCUGGGAGCUUGAAAAAUCACAUUUGAGAAGAGGAUUGGAUCCUAGCCAUAACAUAAAUAUAAGGGUGGAACCAAAGUUUUAAUCAAAGAAGGUGGUGUUCAGUUGCUGCUUACAAUAGUUGAUACCCCAGGAUUUGGAGAUGCAGUGGAUAACAGUAAUUGCUGGCAGCCUGUUAUCAAUUACAUUGAUAUUAAAUUUGAGGACUACCUAAAUGCAGAAUCGCGAGUGAACAGAUGUCAGAUGCCUGGUAACAGGGUGCAGUGUUGUUUAUACUUCAUUGCUCCUUCAGGACAUGGACCAUUACAUAACUGAAGACUCCCACCUUCAGGCAGGAUUGGGUAGUACGUGUUUGUAACUACCUGGCAUUGCCUUUUGUUGAGAGAAUUAUCUUCUGGUAACUUCAUUGAAAAGGCCUCUUUA